rnacentral:rRNA from 1 species
UGGUGGAGUGAUUUGUCUGGUUAAUUCCGUUAACGAACGAGACCUCGACCUGCUAAAUAGUUUGUGGAAUCUUUCGAUUCUACAAUACUUCUUAGAGGGACUAUCGGUGUGUAGCCGAUGGAAGUUCGAGGCAAUAACA